rnacentral:lncRNA from 1 species
CAUAAGAUAGUCUCAGACCAGUGGACACUAAGUUCUGCUUUGGGGCUUCAUCUUGAGCAACACUAUUGUUGUUGUAGUUAUAGUCCAAAGAGCUCUGCAGCUUCUGCUGUCUCUGGAUACUAUGGUUGGUCUCGGUCUCCCUAGCGCGUUUGCUAUUAUUCCGAGACAUUGUAGCAAGGUUAUCGUUAGCAAAGUAGUUUAUAGGAUCAAUAGUGCAACCAGCUCUCACUGUAACCACAUACAAAAGGGAAAAAGUUUUAGCUCUAUAAUAAAGUUUGUAACAACAUUCCAAGCACAAAAGAAAAUCAAGAAACUUACUGGUUCCAAGCAAGUGAAGCUGAUUCAAUGAAGAGUUUGUUUGGUACUGAAACUGGCUAUCCAGCGGUAAAGGGUUCUCAUUGUUACCUCCCAACAUCUUCUCUAAUGCUUAACCGUUACAAGUAUUCAACUUUUGUAAGAAUUACAGUAAGAAACCUGCAGACAUAAGAAGAUAAUGAGUUGAAAACUAUGAAAGUUAUACUUCUUGUGUUCCUGACAUGAUAAGCCAGGACAUACACAAAAAAAGUUUUGACUGUCCUAAGCAAUACACAGAUUACAAUCCAGCUAGAGAUGAAACUCUCCUUCAAACCAAGGCCUGGAGCUAUUUAAAAUAGUAACUGUUGAUUCUUUAUAAACACACAGAUGGUCAACCAAAUAUAAAUACAUGGAGAAUAAAAUUUGCAUCUUUGAAUUUAAGUUUCUACGAUCUCGCCUAUUAAGUAGGGAUACAUGAACCAUAUUUUGAUUAAUUGGCACUGGUCAAAGAUUCAUCUGAAUAAUUAAACUAAAAUUAAUAAUCAAAUCUCACGAACAUGGAAACAACAUGCCAACUUUGAAUAAAGGUUGCCUUUUAGAGAUUGCCCAUCAAAUCAAAAGAUACAUCCAAUUUACAGAAAUAAAAUUUUCAAACCUAAUGAUACAGUACACACAGCUAUCAUCAUCACCAUACACAAAAAGAAAUGAAAAGAAAAAAUCACAGAGACCUAGAUAAGAUAAAAGAUUGCUUCUUUUCCGAUCAUUAAGUUCAGAGAAAGAAAAAACAAAAUACCUGCAAAAAAACAAGGAAUCGAGAGGAGGCAAUUAAUUGCGAUUGAGAGUUUUAAGAAGGUGGUGGUGGGUUUGUUGAAACGUACAGAAACGCAACAUCUGAUGAUUUAAGAUGAAUGAAAGAAUAAAAGAAACGGAUGAAAUGAAUGAUGGACGUGAGAAAGCGGGUCACAAUGGUUAAGGAGUGGGAGAAGUUGGCUGCCAAAAUCGAUAAUAAUAAUUUUAAAAAAAUAAUCGAUAGCAAUUGAGAAAAUAUAAAUAGAAUCCCAAAAAUAAAAAAAUAAAAAGGUUUGAUAAUGAUAAGAACUGGUGCCGGUGGGUAUUGGUUCUGCACAUAUCUCCGUGAGUUGUGCCUCGUGACGCCAUUCACUCCACUUUCCUGCAUCUUUCAAUCUUUUUCCUUUUUAAAAUCUUUUUUUUUCUUUUGAGAACAAAAGAUACAGUAACAUUUUCAUUUAACUUUUUAAUUUAAAUAUUUUAUUUUUUGACCAAGUCCAUUAUUUAAAAUAAGGAAAUUUUCAAAAUGAUAACAGUAACAUCUAUAUUAUUAAAAGAGAAAUACAAAAUAAAAAUACCCCUUAAUUUUACCAUUUAUUUACAUUAGAAUGCCAUUGAGAAAUUUAUUGAACCUAUAUUAGAGUAUUUUUGUCAUUUCCUAUUGUAUUUUCCUAAUUUAAAUAAUAGAUUUACUUAAUCAAAUCUUAACCAAAAUAUUUCCUAAUAUAUUUCAUAUUAACAUAUUAAAUAUUUUUAAUAUUUGUUAGUAAUAAAUAAUAAAAUAAAAAAUCACACGUGAUAAUCAAUUUAUAAAACAUAUAAAUAAAAUAUGAAUAGUUUGUUCAUAUAAUAUUGGAUUUUUAUAUGAUACAUUGUGAUAUACUAGACAAUUAAAAUCACAAAAUAUAAUUAUUCAAAGUAAUAAAUAAAAUUGUUAUGUUUUAAAAUUUUAUAUUAACAAUUAUGUAAUAAAUUUUAAUUUAAAAUAUAUAUAUAUAUAUAUGUUAUACCAUUAGUACAAAGAAAACAUUUUAAGUGAAAACAAAUAUAAAACUAAAAUAUUUAUGUAUUUGAUAUGGUUUAUAAUUUAAUUUAAAAUAUAUAUAUAUAUAUAUUAGUCUUAAUAAUUAUUUAAAUUAGACUUUUUACUUAUAUUAUUUUGUAAUUAUUUGUAUUUUUCAUAACAAAAAUUUUAAACCAUGGAUCACAAAAUUUGAAUGUGAAACUUUUAACAGUUUUAGUAGAUUAUAGUCAUUUUUAAAAAUUCAAAAUAUAAUAUAUACAGAAAAAUCUGAAUUUUAAUUAUAUUGUUAUUUUGGUUGUUUAAUUUAUUUUAAUAGUUUAAUCUUAAACAAAUAUGAUAGAAGAUACACUAAUUUUUAUUAAAUCUUUAUUAUUCAAAAUCAUUAAUUGUCAUAUAUACUUUAGCCGCAUUAGACAAUUCCGUAAUUUUUAUUUAAGGAAAUAAUAAAGAACAUUAAUAAUAAAUUUAUGGUUAGUUUAAUAAAAAAUUUAUUAUAUAAUUAGAUGGACUAACAUAUUUUUCUAAUGAUUCUAAAAAUCAUCCUAGUGAUGACACGGGGCUACAAAUAAAGUUGUAAUGCUUCUCAAAUAAUAUAAAGGGGAUAAUUCAAGAGGGUUUAUUAACGUGCAUGGUACUAAAAAUUUAAUACUUAGUUUAAUUUGUGGAUGGGCUACAUCAAUGCUUGAGCACAAAACUGACAUGCAAACAGAUUCCAAGAAGAACACUUGCUAAUCAUCAUUUAUAUAUACUAUACUAAAAGGAAGAUAUCCUGAGUCCUAAAGCUAUCCACGUAGAAUUAAAAAAUCCACCAAUCAGCACAUUUCAUUUCUCUACAUCAGACAGGUUGGGCUUUCGGUUUGGGCUUCGUUUGUUUUUUGCCAAAUUACACAAUCAGACACCAAAAUGAGUGGGCCUGAGCUUGAGGUUGAUUUGCUGUUUGCCCUAAACUUAACAACGUAUGGUUCUUCUUCUGAGAAGACGAGAUAUGGUUGAGACUAGACGUAGCUAUUCAGCUUCCAAGAGUUUCUAUACUUCUUCUUCAUCCCCUGAACUGUCUUCUCAUCUCCAGUCCCUACCAAGCGAUCUAAGGUCAAGAUCCAUGCUGCUAUUAAAUCCGUAUGUUAGUUUUUAUCCGAGUCUGAGCUUCUUCUUUUUUUCUGGUUUCAAAUAUGAUUUUUGAUUUUUUAUAACUUAGGCAUCGGCAGCGGAACCGACGGGGUCUUCGUCUGCGAGCGAGGUUCGUGUUGAGAAAUAAGGACCGGUUUUGGAUCCUGGAUUCGGAAUCUGAAGAGCCGGAGCUUGGAUCCUCUGAUCCGUAAGCUAUGGAUACGGAGAAGACUGUUUUAACUGAUGUGCCUGUUUUGGAGAUCUCUCUUGAAGCCGACACAAACCCUAAAGUUGAUGUCGUGCCGACACCUACAAUAGCAGGUUUGGAUGUCUGUCUCAUGAUUUUUUCUGGUUAAUUAUGAUUUCUAAUGUUUUUGUGGAUUUAGGGGAAGUGGUGACGGAUGGUGAGAAGUCGAAGGCGGGGAAGAAUCGAGCUAAGGAUCCAUGGGCGAAGCUACUUUCUGAGUACUCUCAGGUGGGUCAAGUUUCAUCAGUGAUUGUUUUUUAUUGGUUUGAUCUAAUAGUCUGUGAAUUGCGCCUUUAGGAUUUAGUUGUCUGCAUGUCUGUUUCUUUUAUAUUUUUUUCCAGCAAAACCCAUAAGUAUGUUGUUAUGUAUGUGUCUCUGUGACUUUUUGUGUCUGCAAGUUGCACAUUGAGUGUUUAGUAAUGUGCAGUUCGUGUAAUAUUUUUUGUGAAGGUUUGGUCUUUCAAUUCAUGCCCAACGAGUUUAGUUCGCUUCAUGUUCGGUUCUUUUACAUUUUUCCGACAGAACUAUGUUGUUAUGUCUGAUACAUUUCUACUUCUUGACUACAAUACUUCUGUUUCUAACUGUCCCAAUGCUUUUUUCUAUGUAAUUUCAGAACCCACACCGUAUCAUGAGGGGCGCUGUAUUCACUGUUAGAUGCCGAGGAUGUGAUUUAUCUAUCACACCAAUAUAUGCUCAGCACCCUGUGUGAAAAUCAAGCAUUCUGAUGUAAGGACAUCUUAUUUGCUCCUUUUUGAUCUUAGUCUCUUUAAGAACAAAAGUUUUUUUCUAACGUAAUUAUCGUGUGGUUUACUUCACGGAUGAAUACAUUCAGAUUAUAACAUGGAGUUUAAACAAUGCAUCAAACUAGCUCCCAUUACCUUCAGAUGUCUUUUUUAGAAAUGCGCUUAUAUUUUAAUUUUUAACUGACCAGCUACUUAAGAAAUCUCAAAUUUACUUAAGCAAAAUAAUUAAUGGAAUUUAAUUUCUUUAAGCCCAUUAAGCAAUGGAUGUAAACGUGAAACUUAGUUUAGAAGGGAAAGCCUUCGAAGCUUCAUCCGCUAUCUUACAGGCGUUUGAGUUCAAAGAAAACCUAAAGCUUCAACAAUUUAUGAAGCUCGCAUGCAUUUUAUGCACGUGCACACUUGCCAUCUUUAGCCAACUACGUGGCAAGGUACUUCAGUUUCUUCUCUACGUCUAUUUGAUAACUUUUCCUUUUUAAUUUGAGUCCCUAUGUGUUUUUGUUGAUGCUUCAGGUUUCUUUGAUUCUGUCGAAGUCUAAGAAGCAUGAAGUUGGCAUGACUGGGAUAACCUUGGAGAUUAUUGAUGAUAUACACUGCCAUGUACUUUGUUAAUUGUUUUGUUCUUUUGGGAACUGUGUCUUUGUGUGUGUGUGUGUUUUCUUCUUAAAAAGGUUGGUGUUGUGUAUUUUUCAUUACCAAAAUGAUAUAAUUAUAUUAGUUCACUUAGUAAAAUACAAAUAGAGAGAAUUUACUUAUAGUUUAGGAUUUCCUCGACUUGAAUUCUCAAUUACAUUAUAUCUACUAUAUAAAAGGAACAGACUCCUAAGCUAUGACACAUCAACUAAAAUCUUUACAUCCAAUGAAAGUGCCACAUCACCAAAAUUUACAUGUCAUCGUCUAAUCCCACGAAAUCUGUAUCAUUUCCCUUCUCUAACGUUCCAGGUAUAACUCCUCCUAAAGGCAACCCAACAAUCCUAAAGGCAACCGUUCAGCAGCUCCGGCGUAAAACCACUUCGACUCUUGAAAGCCUUAUUUAAUAAUAAAACAUUUCAUUGACUUGGGAAUUAGUAGAGAGGCAACUGUUGAGGAUGUGGGGAUGAGUACUAGGAGGAAGAGGAGGCACCGUUCAGUGAUAUUGGAAAAUAUCGAAGCAGAGAUAGUACUACUAAGAGAGAAGCUGAACAUGAAUGAAGAUGAGAGCUUGUGGAGACGCAAAUCGGGUUUUAAACAUAAGUUUUCAACUCAAGAAACUUGGAUGCUAAUAAGAGAAGCUGGUAUACAAUGUUCUUGGGCACCGGGAGUUUGGUUUUCUCAUGCCACACCCAAGUUUGCGUUUAUGACAUGGUUGGCAAUACAUGAUAGACUGUCUACAAUGGACAGAAUAUCUCGGUGGAGUCGGGGUGUGGAUCCAACUUGUGUUUUAUGCAAGAAUGCAGUGGAGUCAAGGGUCAUCUCUUUUUCGAAUGUGCUUUCUCAGUUGGAGUGAUAUUGUGGGACUGAUUACAGUAAGAAACUUGGAGAAGAAGGCUCUGUACUGUAUCAGGUACACAUUUCAGGCUACUCUCCAUGCGAUUUGGCGAGAGAGGAAUAAGAUCACUCAUGGAGAUAAGCCUCUUCCUCUAGUGAGCUUGAAGAAGUUAAUAGAUAAGGGAGUAAGAAACAAGUUGAGUUUGAUAAGGGGUAAAGGUGUGAAGAACAUGGAGAGGAUUCUUCAAUUUUGGUUUGAGACAAGAAUGUGAAUAUUUUAUAGUUUAAGUGAUGUUUUGAUGUAAAAAGGUCACACUUGAUGUACAAAGGCUUUUUGAUGAAUAAGAAUUUAACAUUCAUUCAAAAAAAAAAAUGAGAUCAAUUCAUACAUUCAUUGCUAAACUUAUAACUUAUAUGUAUAGUUACGCAUCUUUAUUUACUCGUCUGCAUCCAAAUUGGCUCAUUUUAUUCCAUAUCAACCUAAAACCUGAAAAUAUUUAAAGCCAUCUCCAGUGGUCAUGAAACACCUAUUUUGAUUUGAUAAAAAUCAGAAGUUAGAAAUCGAUAAAAAACACUGUUUAUCAUCAAGCUUAAGUGGUAAAAGCACCUCUGAGAAAAAAAAAGAGAAAUGAUGUACAUUAAAUAUUAAUUAAUUUUCUGCAAAAUAAAUAAAUUAAAUCAUUUAAAUUAAACAUUUUUUAAGUUGCAACUUCUGUUUAAUUAUUAAAACUAUGCUGUUAAAUGGUUAAACUUUUACCAUUUUCUUAGCAGGUCAGGAUUUGCUUCAGCUGGAAAAAGCUGAGUGCUCAAAAUCAUUUUAGCAGGUCUACAAAACCUUUUGACUUUGGAAAGAAGUUUCUCAACAAAGUUGAAGAAACCAGCUAAAAACAUUGAUUAGUUUCUUUCAGCAUUGAAUCAUGAAUCUAAAUCCACAUCUUUGGUACGUCGCACUCCAACUCAAUUUGUAUCACUUUCCAGACUCCCUGAAAAAUUGUUUAAUACAUGCUUUCAGUGGCAAAAGGCAAAAGACUGGAGCAAAGUUUUCAGCUUUCUCCAAAAUUAACUUAUCAUCAUCAACAUCACAUACAAAUAUGAUAAUCUUUUUUCCAUAAUCAACAUUUCAAGAGUAUGAAGACUGACUCUAUUUCAUGGAUUUUACUCAUGAGAAAAAGACUUGAACGCUAGAAGUUUUGAAAGACUGACAAACAGGACAAAAGCCAGUGAACACAUCACAGUCUUUACACAAACUCAAGUGCCUACACGGUACAAGCAAGACAGAAACCUCCUUUACGUUACACGACUUGCAUCUCAUCCCAGUGUUUGGCAUCCCCCGGAUGUUCAUGUAGUUGUACGAAGCUGCCUCAUCAUCAAUCUCGCUAUCCCCGUACCCUUCUUCCACUGCUAAUACACCACCUGGAUUGGUGUUGUUUCCAUGUGACAUCACGUGUUGCAGAUUCAACUUUAAGGCAUUAACCACAGAUUCAUUGUACUUCGCCCUGUAAUGCCAGUUCUGAGAUUCUACGGCCACUUGUUUUAUCUUCUCCACGAGUUCCCGGUUCUUCUUGUUCAUGUUUUCAAUCUCCUGGUCUUUCUCUUGAAGCUUCUUUCUCACAUCCUUCUCUAAGGCCGUGACAAAGGACGUGACAUGUCUCUGUUUUAUAUCUCUCACACCUUUCGCCAGUUGGUUCCCCUGUUUCCAAAGAAAGUACAAUCAACAACAUUGGAUAUAUAUAUAUAAGAAAUAACGGAUAGAAUUAGUACCUGGAAUUUGAGAAACUGAUCAAGCUCUUCUUUCUGUCUAUCCAAGUCCAAUCUGAUAGUGUCACCGAGUGACUGAAACAUUGGAGUUGUGAUGCUUCCAUUUGCACAAGAGUUUCUCUCAUCAUUGUCAUAAGAUAGUCUCAGACCAGUGGACACUAAGUUCUGCUUUGGGGCUUCAUCUUGAGCAACACUAUUGUUGUUGUAGUUAUAGUCCAAAGAGCUCUGUAGCUUCUGCUGUCUCUGGAUACUAUGGUUGGUCUCGGUCUCCCUAGCGCGUUUGCUAUUAUUCCGAGACAUUGUAGCAAGGUUAUCGUUAGCAAAGUAGUUUAUAG